CGUACACUCCUGCGGGAGGCAGCAGUGGGGAAUAUUGCACAAUGGGCGCAAGCCUGAUGCAGCCAUGCCGCGUGUAUGAAGAAGGCCUUCGGGUUGUAAAGUACUUUCAGCGGGGAGGAAGGCGAUAAGGUUAAUAACCUUGUUGAUUGACGUUACCCGCAGAAGAAGCACCGGCUAACUCCGUGCCAGCAGCCGCGGUAAUACGGAGGGUGCAAGCGUUAAUCGGAAUUACUGGGCGUAAAGCGCACGCAGGCGGUCUGUCAAGUCGGAUGUGAAAUCCCCGGGCUCAACCUGGGAACUGCAUUCGAAACUGGCAGGCUAGAGUCUUGUAGAGGGGGGUAGAAUUCCAGGUGUAGCGGUGAAAUGCGUAGAGAUCUGGAGGAAUACCGGUGGCGAAGGCGGCCCCCUGGACAAAGACUGACGCUCAGGUGCGAAAGCGUGGGGAGCAAACAGGAUUAGAAACCCGUGUAGUCCCAU
rnacentral:rRNA from 1 species